GUGUGUGUGUGUGUGUAUGUGUGUGUGUAUAUAUAUAUAUAUAUAUAUAUACACACACACAUAUAUAUACAG